CUCAGGAUGAACGCUAGCUACGAGGCUUAACACAUGCAAGUCGAGGGGCAGCAUUUCAGUUUGCUUGCAAACGUGGAGAGUGGCGACCGGCGCACGGGUGAGUAACACGUAUCCAACCUGCCGAUAACUCGGGGAUAGCCUUUCGAAAGAAAGAUUAAUUACCCGAUGGCAUAAUUAGACCGCAUGGUCUUAUUAUUAAAGAAUUUCGGUUAUCGAUGGGGAUGCGUUCCAUUAGGCAGUUGGUGAGGUAACGGCUCACCAAACCUUCGAUGGAUAGGGGUUCUGAGAGGAAGGUCCCCCACAUUGGAACUGAGACACGGUCCAAACUCCUACGGGAGGCAGCAGUGAGGAAUAUUGGUCAAUGGACGAGAGUCUGAACCAGCCAAGUAGCGUGAAGGAUGACUGCCCUAUGGGUUGUAAACUUCUUUUAUAUGGGAAUAAAGUUUUCCACGUGUGGAAUUUUGUAUGUACCAUAUGAAUAAGGAUCGGCUAACUCCGUG
rnacentral:rRNA from 1 species